rnacentral:misc_RNA from 1 species
GCAGAAGAGAGGGUGGUUUGGGAAUUGGGGAUUAAAUACAUUUUCAUCACAGCAGCUGUACAUUUCACAAGUUUGCCUGUUGCAGCAGAGUUUCAUGUUUUCUUUGUUGCUCCAUUUGAAAGACCAUUAUAACCUUCUCUUCCACUUCUCAAAACCUCAGAUGGUUUCUGAAGCUGCUCCAAUGUUGUUACAACCUCAUUCAUG